ensembl:lncRNA
CUUACUUAAACAUGUUCUAUGUGUGAGCAUGUGGUCUAUUUUUGAGAAUGACCCAUGUGCAGCUGAGAAGAAUGUGUAUUCUGAUUUUGUGGGGUGGAAGACUCUGUAAAUAUCUGUUAAGUUCAUUUGUUCAAGAGUUUGAUUGAGUUCUAGUAUUUCAUUGCUUAGUUUUAGUCUAGUUGAUCUAUCUAUUUGUGACAGUGGGGUAUUGAGGUCCCCCACUACAAUUGUAUUAGUGCAUAUAUGACUUUUCAUGUCCAUUAGUGUUUUAUAUAGUUGGGUGCACUAGUGUUUGGUGCAUAGAUAUUUAUGAUUGUCAUCUCCUCCUCUUGGAUUGUUCCCUUUACAAGGAUGUAGUGUCCUUCUUCAUCUCUCUUAAUCAGUGUUGGUUUGAAAUCUACUUGAUCUGCCAGGAGGAUAGCUACUCCUCCUUUUUUCCAGGUUCCUGUCGCAUGCAGUAUUGUUUUCCACCCUUUAACUUUCAGUCUAUGAGUUUCCUUUUGAAUUAAGUGUGUUUCUUGUAUGCAGCAUAUUGUUGGAUUUUGCUUCUUGACCCAUUCUGCCAGUCUAUUUCUUUUGAUUGGUGAAUUGAGACCAUUAAUGUUGAUGGUUAUAACUGAAACGUAUUGACUUGUCAUUGCCAUGACUUUUUCUUUUUGUUGGGUUCUCCCCCUUUACAUUUAAUUUCUUGUCAUGCCAGAUGGGUUCAUUCUGCUUUGCUUCCUGGGGUUGUGAUCCUCAAUGUCUGUUCCUAGGCUAUUGUGUAAAAUUCUUUGGAGUGCUGGUUUGGUAUUCACGAAGUUCCUAAGGUGCUGUUUGUCAUGAAAGUAUCUUAUUUCUCCAUCCAUUUUGAAAGAUAGUUUUGCAGGGUACAUCAAUCUGGGUUGGAGGCUGUUUUCUUUUAGGGCUUGGAAUAUGUCACUCCAAGCUCUUCUUGCCUUGAUGGUUUGUGUUGAGAAGUCUGCUGUGAUUGUGAUGGGCUUUGCUUUGUAUGUGAUUUGUUUCUUUUCUCUGACUGCUUGGAGAACUUUGUUCUUCUGUUGAGUUUCUGGAAUCUUAACGAUUAUAUGCCUAUGUGUAGAUUUUUUUUGAUCAAGGCUAUUUGGAGUCCUGUAUGCCUCAGUUAUCUGUAUGUCAAGCUCUUUUCCCCUGCUUGGGAAGUUUUCUGCCAUUAUUUCUGUGAAGAGAUUUUUUAUGUCAUCUGCACUGUCUCCUGUUUCUUCACUGAGCCCAAUCCGUCUUAUGUUAUUCUUUUUUGCAUCAUCUAACAGCUGCUGUAUUGAUUUCUCAUGUCCCCUUAUAAUUUUGAAGUAAUUUUUCUUUUCCUGGUGACUAAUAGCAAUCUUAUCGUCUAUAUCUGAAAUUCUGUCCUCACAUCGGCUCAUUCUGCUGUGUAGACUUUCGGUGGAGUUUUUCAUGUCCUGGAAAUCUAUUUGCAUCUGUUUUAUGGACUCCAUUUGUUUCUUAUGUUGGGAUUCCAUCAUGUUCCUCAGCUCCACUCUAGAUUUAUUAAUCAUGUCUUGCACUAGGGCCACAAUUUCUCCUGUUAUCUGAGAAAUUAUUUCUGAUUUCCUUUUUUCCAGAUCCCCUUUUGUUUCCAGUUCAGUGGGUCCAGGUGGUUGAGUAUCAGAGUGUUCCAUCUCAUUUCCCUUUGGGGUUGCUGUAGGUGAUCUGGAAGUCUGGUUUUGAGACUUAUUUACAUGUUUUCUCAUUUCGACUGGGGCGUGGGGCUGUUAGCACCUGCACGGAUUACGUCCUCUGAGCUGGGUGAGGUGGGACAGGGACCGGGAGCAGCGGUAGGGAUGGUGACCCAAAAGCCCUUUCCUGUGGGCUGGGAGCAGCAGGAGGGAUGGUGGCUGGGAAACCCCUUCCUCUGGACCAGGAGCAGUGGGAUGGUGGCUCAGAAGCUCCUCCCUCUGGGCCGGGAGCGGUGGGAGGGAUGGUGACCGGGAAGCUCCUUCCUCUGGACCAGGAGCAGUGGGAGGACAGCUCAGAAGCCCCUACCUCUGGGCCGGGAACAGUGGGACUCAGUACCUUGGUCUGGUGGUCUCGUGUCCUCUGCAUCUUUGUUGUGUGGAAUCAGGUGGCUGCCUGUCUGCAGUGGGGUGAUUCGGUGUCUUCUGUGCAACUCAGGACCUUGGUAGGGCGUGCACAGACCUAGCUGUCUGCAGCGGGCUGAUUCGGUGUGUUCUGUGGGACUCCAUUAAAUUAUUAAAUAGUGUGUGGUGUUCACACACCACAGAGUUUAGGGUCUAGAAAGAUGUAGUUUAGAAUUCUCUCGAUACCAUUUACUAGGUGAUGGGUAUGGACAAGCUUUUUGGACAACUUACUUAGCAAAGUAAACUUGAACUGAAGGCUGGGAGAUUGUGGCAAGGAAGGUUAACCCUAAAAACAACUCGCCAACAUUUUUCUGGAUUUGAGAGUACUUUCUAAAACUCCAUGUGAAUCUUGUAUUCUUUUUCAUAAAUUUCUAUUUGUUUUACAAGAAAAAUAUUUUUAAGAUGGAAGAGGGGGUUAAGUUGGUUGGUGCUUAUUUUCUCAAAUUUUCUGUAUAAUUAUUUCCCCAAGAACUCAUGCUAUGUUUAUCCUAUGGCUUCAAGCAUUUUUUUCCCCACAUACUUUUAUGGUACAAAAGCAUCUAAACAGAUUAAG